rnacentral:rRNA from 1 species
AUGACCUGUCACACUGGAACUGAGACACGGUCCAGACUCCUACGGGAGGCAGCAGUAGGGAAUAUUGCGCAAUGGGGGAAACCCUGACGCAGCGACGCCGCGUGAGUGAUGAAGGCCUUCGGGUCGUAAAGCUCUGUUGUACGGGAAGAAAAAAAUGACGGUACCGUAUAAGAAAGGAUCGGCUAACUUCGUGCCAGCAGCCGCGGUAAGACGAGGGAUCCUAGCGUUGUUCGGAAUCAUUGGGCGUAAAGAGUAUGUAGGCGGCCUUGUAAGUCAUUUGUGAAAUCCCCGGGCUCAACCCGGGAAGUGCAAGUGAUACUGCUUGGCUUGAAUAUGGGAGAGGGUAGUGGAAUUCCUGGUGUAGUGGUGAAAUACGUAGAUAUCAGGAGGAACACCGGUGGCGAAGGCGGCUACCUGGCCCUAUAUUGACGCUGAGAUACGAAAGCAUGGGGAUCAAACAGGAUUAGAUACCCUGGUAGUCCAUGCCGUAAACGAUGGACACUUGGUGUUGGAGGUAUUGACCCCUUCAGUGCCGCAGCUAACGCGAUAAGUGUCCCGCCUGGGGAGUACGGUCGCAAGAUUAAAACUCAAAGAAAUUGACGGGGGCCCGCACAAGCGGUGGAGCAUGUGGUUUAAUUCGAUGCAACGCGAAAAACCUUACCUGGGCUCGAAAUGUACAGGAAUAUAGUAGAGAUAUUAUAGCCUUCGGGUCUGUAUAUAGGUGCUGCAUGGCUGUCGUCAGCUCGUGUCGUGAGAUGUUGGGUUAAGUCCCGCAACGAGCGCAACCCUUGCCUUUAGUUGCCAGCAUUUAGUUGGGCACUCUAAAGGGACUGCCGGUGUUAAACCGGAGGAAGGUGGGGAUGACGUCAAGUCCUCAUGGCCCUUAUGUCCAGGGCUACACACGUGCUACAAUGGCAGAUACAGAGGGUUGCUAAUCCGUAAGGUAGAGCUAAUCCCUUAAAGUCUGUCUAAGUUCAGAUUGAGGUCUGCAACUCGACCUCAUGAAGGUGGAAUCGCUAGUAAUCGCGGAUCAGCAUGCCGCGGUGAAUACGUUCCCGGGCCUUGUACACACCGCCCGUCACACCAUGAACAAGGUAACCGU